rnacentral:rRNA from 1 species
GGGUAACCUCAGAUCAGGUA